rnacentral:rRNA from 1 species
UACGUAGGGGGCAAGCGUUGUCCGGAAUUAUUGGGCGUAAAGAGCGUGUAGGCGGCCAGGGAGGUCCGUUGUGAAAACUCGAGGCUCAACCUCGAGACGCCGAUGGAAACCCCCUGGCUAGAGUCCGGAAGAGGAGAGUGGAAUUCCUGGUGUAGCGGUGAAAUGCGCAGAUAUCAGGAAGAACACCCGUGGCUAAGGCGGCUCUCUAGUACGGUACUGACGCUGAGACGCGAAAGCGUGGGGAGCGAACAGG